AGCGCAGGCGGGAAGACAAGUUGGAAGUGAAAUCUAUGGGCUCAACCCAUAAACUGCUUUCAAAACUGUUUUUCUUGAGUAGUGCAGAGGUAGGCGGAAUUCCCGGUGUAGCGGUGGAAUGCGUAAAUAUCGGGAGGAACACCAGUGGCGAAGGCGGCCUACUGGGCACCAACUGACGCUGAGGCUCGAAAGUGUGGGUAGCAAACA
rnacentral:rRNA from 1 species